GGUUUUCAGGAAUCUUUCAAACCCCUCAUUGCUCAGUUACCUAAUUCCUCGUGUUGAUCCUUGCUUCUAGAGCCCACCGAAGGAGGUCUCUGGAUUUUCAGACUCUAUGUCCGAUCUCAUGAAGAACCUGGAGCAACUGAAUCUAGAUCUUGAAGAAGCUCUCAAUCAUGGCUCUUCUCCUUCUCAGACUACUUCUUUCAAGAGGCGAGAGCAGCAGUCUUCUGUUAAACUGGAUGCCGGUGAGAAUAGAGAUCCUCAGAGGAAGGGAAUUGGUAGAAAUAAGUGGGGAAGCUUCCAGAAGCUAGAUGACUGGCCAAACCCAAUGUCAGCUGGAGCACGCCCCAAAAUUAAACUGUCACAGCAGAGACAAAGAGUGGAAUGAAAAGCCAAAUUUUCAGAAAUUGAUUUAUCUGAGAGCUUCAUACAAUGUUCGGUAUUCUCCGGCGAGAGACCCAAGAGCAUCAAAUUCUUCCUCAGUCUUAUUUCCAGAAAUGAAUUAUUCAUUGGAAUAUUGGCAAAUAAGAUCGGGUUUGUUUUAUCAACCCUCCUCAUUUUCAGCGGUGUCAAGAAGUAAAUUGUGUGACUCCUGAUUUGGGGCUUGUUCAGUGAGGGAAAUACAGCUCCCUUUUUGAACACUAGCUAUGACCUGGUGCUCUUUACAGGAGAUAGCAAGGUCCAGAUGUGGAAACUCUGCGCUUUAACUCGAGGUUAUCAAUCAGUGAAUACUAUUUACUGAGUGUCUUCAGCGUGCAGAGCAUUAUCACCUUCCAACUCUCUGCACUUUUCACCCCCAAGCAAAUUAUCUGGGAAAUUGGUGUCUAAAAUCAAUUUAGUAGUUGCCUUUAGCACUUAUGUACAUGCCCAUAGCUAAUUUUUAUCCAUGUCUGCAUCCCCUUCUAGGCUGUAAAUUCGUUGUUGGCAGGAAACACGUCUACCAACUUGUUCUGUCGUACUCUCCCAAGUGCUUAGUACAGUCUUUGGCACACAGUUAAGCGCUCAGUAAAUGAAAUGGAUGGAUUAAAAGUAUGUUUAGUUCACUUGAAAUAUCUAGCUCAUUCAGCUAAAAUCUAUUUGGGGGCUAAGUAUAUCAGUAAAUUUAUGGGUGUAGACGGCCAUUAUGUUACCAUCGAUAGGCGGCUUAAACCCUGCCCCGCUUGUCCCAUCAAAAACUGACUGUGGGCAAAAAAGGACUGCCAUAACUUUAUGAUAAAAGUGUUUAACAAAAAGGGUUAAAAUACGUUCAUUCCUAAGAAGGCAGAGAACAGUAACGAGUGUCGAAAGCCAGGAUUCACUGUAAUGACAACAGAAGACGUAAAACUGGGAGAGCAAUUCUCAUUUUCAGGAGUCUUAAAGAUGGAUAUACUGACAGUUGGCCAUUAUCUGUCCUGCAGAACUCCCUUUGAUGAUGCUAUAAUCAGGUUUUACUCCCAAGCAAAAAAAUGCAAUUGGUUGAUAAAUACUAGGCCAUUACUUUAUGCAAAUGUCAAGUUCAGCAAAACCGUGUAAUUGCCUGCAGGAAUCCAUCUGAUAUGUUGGUAUUCAUCUAGGCAAUGUAGCGGUUACAGAGCUGUGCUGAAAAUUCUCCAAUAAAGAAUAUGUUGAACAUUCAUGGGAAAUAGAAUUUAAAAGAGCGCAGAUUGGUGGUAGGUGAAAUGAUCCAUGCAUUUCCUGCCUGGGGGGCUGAAGAUAUAAGGUUCUUUAUGAAUAUAUAUAUUUUGUGGCUGCUAUUAAUUUUAUCUAGGGUACCACAGAAAGCAAGCAAGUGCUUCAUCUGGUUAGGGAUUAGUGUCAUCUUGAUUUAAAAAGCAACUGGGACUCUCAUCCCACUUCAGUGAUGUUUGGAUUGAAUAAUAUUUAUUGAUUUCACCUUAUUCGUUUGGUUCAGUGUCGAAUCUUGCAAACGGAGGGCUAGUAGUACGAGAGGAUGUACUAGUAUGAGAAGCAGCAUGGCUCAGUGGCAAGAGCGUACCAGUAUGAAAAGCAGUGUGGCUCAGUGGCAAGAGCACGGGCUUGGGAGUCAGAGGUCAUGGGUUCUAAUCCCGGCUCCGCCACUUAUCAGCUGUGUGACUUUGAGCAAAUCACUUAACUUCUCUGUGCCUCAGUCACCUCUUCUGUGGAAUGGGGAUUAAGACUGUGAGCCCCACGUGGGACAACCUGAUUACCCUGGAUCUCCCCCAGUGCUUAGAACACUGCUCUGCACAUAGUAAGCACUUAACAAAUACCAUCAUUAUUACAGUGCCUGACACAUUAUAAACGCUUAACAAAUACCAUUAUUAUUAUUAUCCGUGAGUGUGAGUGACUUUGAGAGGCAGUCCCUUGCACUUCUGCACACUUUGACUGUAAUACAACAACACAGGAAUGUAGACUCUUAGGGCCGGAUGCCCAAUUCAGUAAUAAUAAUAACAAUAAUGUUGGUAUUUGUUAAGCGCUUACUACGUGCAGAGCACGGUUCUAAGCGCUGGGGGAGAUACAGGGUAAUAAGGUUGUCCCACAUGAGGCUCACAGUCUUAAUCCCCAUUUUACAGAUGAGGUAUCUGAGGCACAGAGAGGUUAAGUGACUUGCCUCCAGUCACACAGCUGACAAGUGGCAGAGCUGGGAUAAUACUAUAGCCAGCUAAUAAGGGGUCAAGGGAAGCAGAUCAUUGAAAGCCUUCUUCUCCCUCUAUGCCUGGACUGAGGUGAUGAUGAGGGCACUGCGGAGAAGGAGAGGGAAACCCAAGGGCCCCAGGGGAAGGUUAUGUGGAGGAGGAAAAAUUACAAGGAGGAGGUGGAAAACUACUGGAGUCAAACUUAUUGGUAGAAGAGCCCCCUAUCUAGUCCUUAUAGUUAACUCUUGAGAGUUGAAGCAGUGAUGUGGAUAAUUCAAAUAAGACCCACAUAGGGUAUUCCCUCGUAGACUGUCAUCUGCAGGACAGGAAUCACAUUUACAACUUAUGUCGUACUCUCCCACAGGCUUAGUACAGAGCUC
rnacentral:lncRNA from 1 species